rnacentral:rRNA from 1 species
GACGAACGCUGGCGGCGUGCUUAACACAUGCAAGUCGAGCGGUAAGGCCCUUUCGGGGGUACACGAGCGGCGAACGGGUGAGUAACACGUGGGUGACCUGCCCUCAGCUCUGGGAUAAGCCUGGGAAACUGGGUCUAAUACCGGAUAUGACUCCAUGACGCAUGUUGUGGGGUGGAAAGCCUUGUGCGGCUGAGGAUGGGCCCGCGGCCUAUCAGCUUGUUGGUGGGGGG